rnacentral:rRNA from 1 species
AGAGUUUGAUCCUGGCUCAGAAUCAACGCUGGCGGCGUGCCUCAGACAUGCAAGUCGAACGAUUAAAGCUCUCUUCGGAGAGUGCAUAGAGUGGCGCACGGGUGAGUAACACGUAAGUAAUCUACCUUCGAGUGGGGAAUAACGUCCGGAAACGGACGCUAAUACCGCAUAAUGCAGCGGCAUCGCAAGAUGACAGUUGUUAAAGAUUUAUCGCUUGAAGAGGAGCUUGCGGCAGAUUAGCUAGUUGGUAAGGUAAUGGCUUACCAAGGCUACGAUCUGUAACCGGUCUUAGAGGACGGUCGGUCACACUGACACUGAAUAACGGCCCAGACUCCUACGGGAGGCAGCAGUCGGGAAUUUUGGGCAAUGGGCGAAAGCCUGACCCAGCAACGCCGCGUGAAGGAUGAAGUAUUUCGGUAUGUAAACUUCGAAAGGAUAGGAAGAAUCAAUGACGGUACUAUUUAUAAGGUCCGGCUAACUACGUGCCAGCAGCCGCGGUAAUACGUAGGGACCAAGCGUUGUUCGGAUUUACUGGGCGUAAAGGGCGCGUAGGCGGCAUGACAAGUCACUUGUGAAAUCUCCGGGCUUAACUCGGAACGGCCAAGUGAUACUGUCACGCUAGAGUAUUGGAGGGGCAAUCGGAAUUCUUGGUGUAGCGGUGAAAUGCGUAGAUAUCAAGAGGAACACCUGAGGUGAAGACGGGUUGCUGGCCAAAUACUGACGCUGAGGCGCGAAAGCCAGGGGAGCAAACGGGAUUAGAUACCCCGGUAGUCCUGGCCCUAAACGAUGAAUACUUGGUG